GAUGAACGCUAGCUACAGGCUUAACACAUGCAAGUCGAGGACCGGCGCACGGGUGCGUAACGCGUAUCGAACCUGCCUCAUACUCGGGGAUAGCCUUGCGAAAGUAAGAUUAAUACCCGGCGGUAUGAGAUGGCGAUGCGUCCCAUUAGCUUGUUGGUGAGGUAACGGCUCACCAAGGCAUCGAUGGGUAGGGGUUCUGAGAGGAAGGUCCCCCACAUUGGAACUGAGACACGGUCCAAACUCUACGGGAGGCAGCAGUGAGGAAUAUUGGUCAAUGGACGAAAGUCUGAACCAGCCAAGUAGCGUGCAGGAUGACGGCCUCUGGGUUGUAAACUGCUUUUAGUUGGGAAUAUGUACCAUCAGAAAAAGGACCGGCUAAUUCCGUGCCAGCAGCCGCGGUAAUACGGAAGGUCCAGGCGUUAUCCGGAUUUAUUGGGUUUAAAGGGAGCGCAGGCGGCGGCGUAAGUCAGUUGUGAAAUCGGCGGCUUAACCGCCAUUGCAGUUGAUACUGCGUGCUUGAGUGCACACAGGGAUGUUGGAAUUCAUGGUGUAGCGGUGAAAUGCUUAGAUAUCAUGAAGAACUCCGAUCGCGAAGGCAUAUGUCCGGAGUGCAACUGACGCUGAGGCUCGAAAGUGUGGGUAUCAAACAGGAUUAGAUACCCUGGUAGUCCACACAGUAAACGAUGAAUACUCGCGGUGGUC
rnacentral:rRNA from 1 species